rnacentral:rRNA from 1 species
GCCUACGGGGCGCAGCAGUGGGGAAUAUUGCACAAUGGGGGAAACCCUGAUGCAGCAACGCCGCGUGAGUGAAGAAGUCAUUCGUGAUGUAAAGCUCUAUCCGCAGGGAAGAAAAAAAGUCUUUGGCUUUGGACGGUACCUGACUAAGAAGCCCCGGCUAACUACGUGCCAGCAGCCGCGGUAAUACGUAGGGGGCAAGCGUUAUCCGGAUUUACUGGGUGUAAAGGGAGCGUAGACGGCAGCGCAAGUCUGGAGUGAAAUGCCGGGGCUCAACCCCGGAACUGCUUUGGAAACUGUGCAGCUAG